CGCCUCUUGCAAAACCAAAGAAUAAGAGGUCCCGCCUGCCCGGUGACUAUAUGUUUAACGGCCGCGGUAUUUUGACCGUGCGAAGGUAGCGUAAUCACUUGUCUUUUAAAUGGAGACCUGUAUGAAUGGCAUAACGAGGGCUUAACUGUCUCCUCUUUCCAGUCAAUGAAAUUGAUCUCCCCGUGCAGAAGCGGGGAUAGACACAUAAGACGAGAAGACCCUAUGGAGCUUUAGACACCAAGACAGAUCAUGUUAAACACCCCCUGACAAGGGCCCAAACUUAAUGACUCCCUGUCCUAAUGUCUUCGGUUGGGGCGACCAUGGGGAAGCACAAAACCCCCAUGUGGACUGGGAGAACAAACCCAAUACUCUUUUCCCACACUCCCACAAGCAAGAGCCACAUCUCUAACUAACAGAACCUCUGACCUCUUAUGAUCCGGCUUCUGCCGAUCAACGGACCAAGUUACCCUAGGGAUAACAGCGCAAUCCCCUUUUAGAGCCCAUAUCGACAAGGGGGUUUACGACCUCGAUGUUGGAUCAGGACAUCCUAAUGGUGCAGCCGCUAUUAAGGGUUCGUUUGUUCAACGAUUAAAGUCCU
rnacentral:rRNA from 1 species